rnacentral:lncRNA from 1 species
AUUCUCUGGUGUUCUGGUUCAGUCUGAGUUUUAGGCAGGCUCGGUGUCUCCCUUGAUCUUACAGUAGGGCAUUAUUGAUCCUGUUCCUUCCACAGCAGUAGACUCUAUUUUUCUUGGCCAUGAAUGUGUUUCUGCCCUUUCCCUAGGGGGAAGAGGGGAAGAUAAUUCAUAUGGAGCAUCACACCAGCUAUCUCCUGCUCCCUGUCCUGCACUGCAAAGGAGGCCUUUUCAUCCUCUCUACUGCCUCCAAUUUUUCUCACGAGGAAUGUGAGAGGAAAACCUAGAGCUUGUUCCUGAAGCAUGGUGCUAAGUCCAUAUGCAGCAGAUGGAGCUCAUGAGAAAAGAGUUGCUCUUGUGAAGACCAAAGCUUGGUGAGGUGUCAGAUCCCCGGCGAUGGAAAGCAGUCAACUCAUGGGUAGUAAAAAGAAUGUAUUGACAACACUAUAGGUUUGAAAAGGAAAGUUUUAUUAGAUGGAAAGAACAGUGCAGAAGACCGCAGCAGAGGACCUCAGCAAGAGAGAACUAAAAAUGGUCAAUUACAAAGCACAACAUAAGACUGGAACAUUGGAGUUAAGUAGCAGAGAUCAAAAGAGGAGAUUGCAGAUGGAGGUGUUGUAUGUGACUGUUUUACAUGGAUUCUUCGCUCUGGUAGCAGAUGUUGAAGAAGCUCUAUGAAUGUCCUGUCUCUAUGUCCCAGAAAAAGCAUUCCCAGAAGCACGGAGAAGUGAGGAGAAAAGGCAAUGCACCUGGAGCUGGAGACCAAGGCCCUGUUCUUACUGAUGGCCCUUGGAGCAGAUAUUUGAAUUGGAGAGAUAAAACCGUGGUUUUUGGGGUGUUAAUUUUGGUGGCUGAUGCAUUCUGUGAUUGAUUUGGCUAUUACAACUGGUAUUGAUUUUAAACACAUUAAUUGCAAAAUCUCAAUUGUGAUUUGAUUUCUGUAUUUACAAUACUAAAAACGAGGCUUUCGCCAGGAGAAGACAAUUGGCAGUACUCAGUUGGAAGUGCUUAAUUGUUAAUAUAUAUCAGCCGUGGUUCUUCAGCGUCGUCAGUGUUGCUCAGUCUUGCUCUUUGUGGCGACUACUGAAUGCUUGAAAAAUUCUCUCCUAUACUCCCACUCUGCACUGUAGAAGAGAAAGAGAGGAGAGUGGAAGAAAAAAGAGAGGGAGAGGAGAAAGAAAGAGAGGAGAGAGAAACAUGGGCAUGGAUGAUACAUAAGAUAAUUCCAGAAGAUUUCAGCAUAGCAGAUAAAAUACAGCAAAUCCUAACCAGCACAGGUUUGAGUGACAAACGGGCCGGUUCCAUGGACACAGGUGACUUCAUCAGAUUCAUGAAUUAUCAGGAAAGGAGAGGACCUCUAAUUACACUUUGAGAAGAUGCUUCUAUCCCUCAUUACGCUUUGAAAUUGAAGAAUUUAGAUAUAUUUAAGUCUAUUUCACUCUUUUUAACUGAUAGAUGAAUAAACUGUUCUCUUUAUCAAUGAUCCCUCUUGGAGACCAUUUGGUAUUUCUGCUUUUUGGUUAUUAAUAACAAUGCUUCAAUAAAUGCCUUUGCACAUGUCUCCUUGUAAACAUAUGUAAGGAUUUCCCUGAUGCAGCUAAAACCUAGAAGUAGUUUUAUUGGGGAGAAAGGUUUUACAUUUAUAUUAUCAACAUUUUAAGGUACUACCCAUUUGCUAUUCAGACUGGUUUGAUUGGUUUACACUUCUGCCUAUAAUAAAUGUUUAUUAUUUAUUAUUUAUGAUUACUGUUUAUCCAUCUACUGGCUGGCAUGUGAUGUCAUCACACAAUUUCUGCAAACACAAUGGAUGUGAAAUUGUAUCUGAGUUGCUUAAUUUGUGUUUUCCUGACUACUAGUAAUGUUGAGCAUCUUUUACGUUUUUUAUGUACUUUAUUUUUUACAUUAAAUAAAUUUUGACAAAGAAUUUGUGUCCGAAUGCUAAGUGUUAGAAAAUGAAUUAAGUAUUGGGAAUAAAAAAAAUCAAGAAAAUGGAUAAUAUCCCUGUCCUUACAGAGAUUACAUUGGCCAUAUAUUUUCUUCUUAUGGAUCUUAUCUGCAUAUUUAUGGCCCAUUUUUCUACCACAUUGUUUAUCUUUAUAAAAAAUGAGCUAUAAUAAUUUUAUAUCAUGGAUAUUACUUUUGUGCAUUAUAUCUAUUAUAAAUAUCUUCUUCC